rnacentral:rRNA from 1 species
AUUGAACGCUGGCGGAAUGCUUUACACAUGCAAGUCGAACGGUAGAGGGGGCAACCCCUCGAGAGUGGCGAACGGGUGAGUAAUAUAUCGGAACGUGCCCAGUCGUGGGGGAUAACGUAGCGAAAGUUACGCUAGUACCGCAUACGAUCUAUGGAUGAAAGCGGGGGAUCGCAAGACCUCGCGCGAUUGGAGCGGCCGAUAUCAGAUUAGGUAGUUGGUGGGGUAAAGGGCCACCAAGCCAACGAUCUGUAGCUGGUCUGAGAGGACGACCAGCCACACUGGAACUGAGACACGGUCCGGACUCCUACGGGAGGCAGCAGUGGGGAAUUUUGGACAAUGGGCGAAAGCCUGAUCCAGCCAUUCCGCGUGCAGGAUGAAGGCCCUCGGGUUGUAAACUGCUUUUGUACAGAACGAAAAGGUUUCUACUAAUACUAGGAGCUCAUGACGGUACUGUAAGAAUAAGCACCGGCUAACUACGUGCCAGCAGCCGCAGUAA